rnacentral:antisense_RNA from 1 species
CUUGACGGUAGCUGUGCGCAGGGCGCCAUUUGGCGCGCCGGCUUCGUCGUGGUCCGGUCUACUAACCUGCGUACAGCUGCCACCCUU